ACGCUCGACACCUACGGGCAGCAGUGGGGAAUAUUGGGCAAUGGAGGCAACUCUGACCCAGCAACGCCGCGUGAAUGAUGAAGGUCUUCGGAUUGUAAAGUUCUGUGACGGGGGACGAACACAAUGACGGUACCCCGAUAGCAAGCCACGGCUAACUACGUGCCAGCAGCCGACGGUAAUCUGAGGCGGGUCGUGGACGAAGGC
rnacentral:rRNA from 1 species